UAUUGAAACACUGGUUCUUGUAUGAUCACUGAAGUUAAGCAACAUCGAGACUGGCCAGUAUUUAAAUGGGUGACUGCUUGGGAAUACCAGAUGCAGUAA